rnacentral:rRNA from 1 species
UCAACGCCGGGAAACUCACCAGAUAAGACAGCUGAAUGAUAGUCGGGCUGAAGACUCUACUUGACUAGCUGAGAGGAGGUGCAUGGCCGUCGUCAGUUCGUACUGUGAAGCAUCCUGUUAAGUCAGGCAACGAGCGAGACCCACGCCAACAGUUGCCAGCUCGUCCUCCGGGAUGGUGGGGACACUGUUGGGACCGCCUCUGCUAAAGAGGAGGAAGGAAUGGGCAACGGUAGGUCAGCAUGCCCCGAAUUAUCUGGGCUACACGCGGGCUACAAUGGGUGGGACAAUGGGUAUCGACACCGAAAGGUGAAGGCAAUCUCCUAAACCCAUCCGUAGUUCGGAUUGUGGGCCGCAACUCGCCCACAUGAAGCUGGAAUCUGUAGUAACCGUGUCUCAAAAUGGCACGGUGAAUAUGUCCCCUGCUCCUU